UUUUGGAAUCACGUUCAGAUCACCUCAAAUGGAGACACUGAUGAUUCUUGUGUUCAUAAGUGCUUCUCUUUGGGGUUGUCUUGGUUG
rnacentral:pre_miRNA from 13 species